AAGACACACACACCAUACUUUUAAGGGUUGAGGAAAAACAUGGGUUCCAACAGGGAAGGAGAUGGGAGCCUUAGCCUUGAUCACAGGGCUUCUCCGUCUGAGGGCGUGAGCUUGUGAAUGUCAUCUACUUUGGAGGACACACUUCAUGAACUGUGCUGACUACAAUUACAAUAUUGUUAUUCUUGAAUCCCAGGUUAGAUACUGUGAAUGGCAAAUUACUUCUAUCUAGUAACUUUACUUCCGUAGCAAAAGUAAUUGAAAACCCCAUAACAUGAUAAAUAAUAAUUUAAUUAAUUUUGGCAUCUAUAUACACCCAGGGAACUGGAGAGUCAAAGCAUUCUUUCAGAUAUUAUAAGAGAAGAGAACCAAAAUGUUGUCUCUGGUGUCUAGAAUUUCAGGAAUUUUUUUUUUUUUUUU
rnacentral:lncRNA from 10 species